AGCCCCAGCACCAACCCCACAGCACCAACAGCUCCAUAGAGAACAACCGCGGAUGUCGCGGUGUAGGUACACAUGGAGCCUGGCACCGGCUGUAGCCCCAGCACCAACCCCACGGCACCAACAGCCCCAUAGACAACAACCACAGACGUCAGUGUUACCUGUGCCGGUGAGCGCGGCGGAGCCAUCACCGCAUCCCAACGUCCCCUCGAGCCCGUCCGUGUGUUGCCGACACCAGAGACCCAUGUGAGGAGCUCUCCCAGCGGUGCCACAAUGACCCCAGUGGGGCUGGGGACAGACGUCUGCCGGAGAGAGAGGCUGUUACCGCGGCACCGGCACCGGUAACCGCCACCAGGGUAACAGGACCGCGGUAUCCCCAACACGGAGCGCGGUGGUGACCACCACCCCCCAUGUUGUGGGGUCCCAUAGCCUCCACACCCCUCAAUGAACCCCCGCGGUGAGGGUGACGCGGUGCAUGAACCGCGCAUGGAGCCGGGGUGAGUUUGGCAUCACCGAGUCCGGCACCGGCUCUGGCAGAUGCCAACUCAUUCCUGGUUAGUAAUUCCUUGCUAAGUCCUUCUUAAGUCCUUGGUAACUCAUUAAAGCUGCAUUAGCAUCAUUGCAUGAAGCACAUCCCAUAUACACGGGCAGCAGGCGGCGGCGGCAGCUCCCAUUGGAACCGGUUGCGGUGCCGGAGCCGAAGCGGUGGCCAUGGGCUGGCGGAGGCGGCGGGUCCUGGCGGGUGAAGCACUGGAGCAUAGUGGGACCACUGGUGCUGUUGUGGCACUUACGGUGGUGCCGCGGUCAUGCUGGGGCUAUGGCAGAGCAGCGGCUCCGGUGCUGGUUUGGUGUCAGGUGCGUGGUGCUGGUAGUGACCUCCUCCUUGCGCCAGCACAGCCGUGGCUAUAGGGUCGUCUCCUCCUUGGGGAGCAGGAUGAAGCAGCGAGUUAGUUAUAAAAGAGUCUCUAAGUGGUUAGAUCCAAAAGAUAGAAACAGUUUUCCUGGUUUCUUGGUGGUUUUCUGGUGUUUUCCUGGUGUUUUCCUUGUGUUUUCCUAUGGGUUUCCUAUGUUGAGUUGCCUGUUUGCAGCCAUGCGCCGGCUGAUUCCCCUUUCAACACACACACCCCCUGGACCACACCGGGUUAGUUUUGGUUAAGGCUUCGGCAAGGUCAUCACCACAUUCAACCAGUAACAGCAGAUCAGUCCUAUGGAGCAGCAGCAGCUUUGCCACAUGCGGAGCGAGCGGCAGCAGGUUCCUCACGCAGGGGCCGGUGGCUCAGGCCACGCGCGGUGGUGGCAGCCGGUGCACCGCGGUGCAUGUACCGGCAUCCAUCCCACAGCACCAAACCGCGGUGGUGGCCAUGGCUUCCAUGGCACCCACAGUGUAUCUGCGCCCGAAGCUCGAGGAGGAGUAUGAGGAGGAAGAGAAGGUCAUGGAGAAGCCGGAUCCGGUGGCGUCGAAGCUGCCGCGCCGGGAGCCGGAGCGGGAUCCGGUGCGGGAUCCGGUGCGGGAGCCGGACGCGGAGCCGGCGCUGCUGACGUUGUAGGGGCUGUAAUAGCCUUUGCUGGACUGGGAGGAGGCCUCCAGCAGGCGCAAACCGGUGCCGUCCUCCACCAUACUCCUGUCCAUGGCAUCCUUGUAGGAGAUCUUGAGCUUGGUCUUGGGGCAGGUGAGGUACUUGGAGUAGGUGUUGACGUCACGGAGCUUCUGUGCCGUACGGGCGUCUAUGGUUCCCUUCUGCAGCGCCGCGUCCAGCGACACGCGCCCGGCGGCAUCCGGCUCAAUGAGGCCUCCGGUCAGAUACUGAACCUCCAGGAACCUCUGCCCGGCCUCAUAAUAGAGCCAACCCUUCU
rnacentral:lncRNA from 14 species